rnacentral:lncRNA from 1 species
GAAUAUAUUUUUAAAUAUAAGCAUCAAUAUUGUAAGUUUUGACGUUCAGUUGCUCCGCCCGUCAAACUCCAUCCUCAGAUUCCCUUGCUGCUGCUGCUCCCUAUAACAUCCUCAGUGAUGUCUGCUUUUUGCCUCUUUAUCAACCGAGUCUGUACCAUCUCCCAAGACCAUCAGCAAAGUCACCAUCCCCUUAUCGUCUGCUGGUUAAACCUCCACUCAUUCAGCAUGAUCUACUCCUAGUUUGUCAUCUUAUUGCCAAAAUUUUAUUGAAGUCUCCGACAGUAUUCCUGUUAUGUCUACUUCUGUAGAUUCAAAGAUGAGGCAUAGAUUGAGCUGAAAACCAACAUAGCAAGUCAUGUUAGCAAGUCAUGUUAGCAUAUCACGAAGGCCAAUUUUAUUUGAUAGAUGUGUGAAAAAUAUCUCUAUCUACAAUGCCACCACUCUUUCAAAGCUGAAGAUGAUCUCUUCGUUAAAUACUCCUGAUUUCAUUAUAUAUUUUAGUGAAGAUCGAUGCUACAUAAGACUAUAUAUGGCCAUCACAUUAUUCACGAUAUGAUAUAGCUAAAUAAUUAAGAAUAGUCAGAUGAUGACUGGAGCUAGGAUAGGGGAAUGGCUGGUUGGUAAAACAAGAAUAAAUCUUUAUUAUAUUAAUGCUUUCUGUCAAUGUCAUCGAAUGAAUAUACUUGUUAUGAUGUAUCAUCCUAUGUGAAUGUCAACAUUAUAAUUUAAUGAUUGAUGCUUAUACAAUUGCAAACUACUUAAUUUUCUUUCUAGGAUAUUUAACUUGAUUCAAAUGAUAGUAAUAUAAGUUUUCAUUAAAUUGCAAUUGAUUUAUUUGAACUACGUGAUCUUAUUUUUUUUAUUUCAUACAUUAUUCUAUAGAUUCAAAAAAGUACAAAAAAAUUAUGAGAUAUUGGAGGAAAUGAGAAUUCAACUUUAUACAAAGUUCAACCUAUUUUUAAAUAUAUCAUUCCUUUGUUUUUUUAGUUACAUCAACGUUGUAAGCAAGCGGAGAUCAAAUAUCUUGUCACAUCAAUUUAGGUCGAUUUCAACAAUAGAAUAAAAUUAAAUGCCAAAUUGUCUUAUUAAUUUCAAGCCACUUCUAAUAGUCAUAUCCAGGAAAAGACCAGAUCCAAAAUUUAAAGAUAUUUUUGGAACAUGUAACAGUGUUUUAAUUUAUUUUUAGACAUAAUUAAUAUGAACUUAACUCAUCUUUUUAAAAAAAGUUGACUGUUGGUCUUUCAGUUUAUGUUGAGAAGGGUUGCACAUUGGAGGAUAAGAG